ACGCAGAGGAUCUCGCAUAUGACAGACGUCAAAACCAAUUAUCCAAGCACAAAGUUAUAGAACAAGGGUGAUUGAUAGGCAUGUAUUCAGACAUUGUAACUAUAUAGCUAGGGCAUUUAAGAUAUGUGUUAGACAGGAACAGCAAUCUCAUCUAGCAUAUGCCCAAAUUUGAUCUUUAUGUGACUUCCUAUAAUGCAAGUCCAAAAUUAGUGGAUACACUAUAAAGUUAAAGUGAACCACUGUUCUAGUUGCUAAUCCAAGUCCAAAGGCUCUGAAGUCUGAACUUCCAGCUCAGAUACAGACAUGCAGUAUAAGCAAAAAACAAACAGACAAAACUGCAGGGUGACACACACCAUACAAUGGUUAUGCAGGUUAAGGUUAAAAGGUAGAAGUGAUGAGAAAUUAUGCAUCCAAUUGAUUAGAUUAUUGAAAGGGAGGUAGCUCAAUGAUUGAUAGUAACAACUGAAACAUCUAAAUUUUGAUAUACGGAUCACUGCAAACAAUUUAUCAGCCCAUGAUAUAUGCAGCGUUCAGCUUUAUUAUGUCAGCAAUACCUUAAGAAAAGGAUAUGAAGAAAAGGAGAUCGACAGUGAGCGGUGGAUGUACAAUGGGUACAAAAUGCCAAGGUUGCAGUAUCAAUAUCCAUACACAUCACAAGAAA